AUUAUUUUUUAAGCUAUUAAUAAAAAAAUAUAUAGUUUUGUAUAACAAAUAUAUUUUUUUUUGAAAAAACUUCAAAUAUCCUGCAUGUGGUUUCGCAGUUUCUUACUUUAAUAUCAUGUGGUUUAAAGUGUAUCAAGGCAGUACCCGGUGGUUUCGCAUUUUCUCACUUUAGUACCCUGUGGUUUAAAGUGUAUCAAGUUAGUACUCUGUGGUUUCAUUUUUGUAUCAAGUUAGUUCCUCGUGAUUUCAUUUUUCUCUUUUUAUUAUCUAUUUCGGGAUUUUUUUUCGUUAAAUCAAUGACAAAGUUAAAACUAAAGGGUACUAAAAUGAAUAUUCGAUAAAUCUAGAUAGGGUAUUUGAAGUUUGUUUGUAUAUAAUUUAACGAAACAUUAAACCACAUGGUACUAAAGUGAGAAAGUGCGAAACCAUAUGGCACUAACUUGAUAUACUUUAAAUCACAGAAUACUAAAGUGAGAAACUGAGAAACUACAAGAUACUAAUUUAAUACACUUUAAACCAUAUGAUACUAAAUUGAGAAAGUGCGAAACCACGAAGGGCUUGUGGGUAUUUAAAGUUUUUUCUUUUUUUUUU
rnacentral:lncRNA from 1 species